rnacentral:lncRNA from 1 species
UUUUAAUUCAUUGUUUGGAACCAGCAAGUACCCAACAGUUUAGUCUAAACCUAAGUUUUAACCAAGAAAGUAUUCAUUGUAUGUGCUACCAAGGAAAUACGGUGGUUUGUCAGAUAGCACACUAACUAGCGUCAGCAUUACUAAUGGUGACAGACGGUUGCAAAGCUCUAGCAAAGGACUCCCCAGUGAGUCAGAGGCCUAUCAUCCAACUGCCUGCUUACCAGCUUUCCUUCCUGUGAGUCACUUUAAGGAACGCAACUUCUUCUUUCUGUUUUCACCUUUCCUCUGCUCCAAUCAGUGGCUGUUAAAGCCACAUUAUAAUUCUGAGAAGUAUUAAUAGAUAUGACUGGGUCUCUCCAGGACAGCUCUUAGAAUGGAAGUAGGAGAAUGGACAUAAAAGAAGAUGCUCAUUUACCAAAUUGGAGAUGUCCCCUGCUAUUCUUUCUCUGAGAGCUGUUGACCAUGAAUGUGGCAGUCAUCUCUCCUCCCCCAUGGUUGCUCCAUUUUCAUCCCCAUCAGCAGUGUCUAUGGAAGAGUUCCAGCUUCCACAAGCUCACCAACACCAGCUGUGACAAAAUACCAGACAAAAGCAACUUCAGGGAAAGAGUAUUUGUUUUGGCUCAUAGUUAAGCAGUGCAAUCCUCGUGGCAAGGAAGCUAGAACUCCAGUCUCUGGACCGGCACUGCCCUCAUCCAGGAUAGCACUUCUCACCUCACCUCAGUUAAGCCUUUCAGGAAACACCAUCAUGGACACACUGCAGAGGUGAGUUUGGAUAUUUUGGACCAGCAAGAUGGACCAGUGAGUAAAGGUACUUGCUGCCAAGCCUGAGGACCUGAGUUUGAUUCCCCAGGAACCAUACAGUGGAAGGAGAGAAUUGAUUCCCACAAACUGUCCUCUGACCUCCACAUGGACACUGUGAUACAUGAUGUCCACACACAAUAAAAUAUGAAAAAGGUCUAGC